UACGGAGGGUGCGAGCGUUGUCCGGAAUCACUGGGCGUAAAGGGCGCGUAGGCGGUGGGAUAAGCGCAUGGUGAAAGCCCGGGGCUACAACCCCGGGUCGGCCGUGCGAACUGUCCGACUCGAGCACUGUAGAGGCAGGUGGAAUUCCGGGUGUAGCGGUGGAAUGCGUAGAGAUCCGGAAGAACACCGGUGGCGAAGGCGGC
rnacentral:rRNA from 1 species